rnacentral:rRNA from 1 species
CCUACGGGAGGCAGCAGUGAGGAAUAUUGGUCAAUGGGCGAGAGCCUGAACCAGCCAAGUCGCGUGAGGGAGUACUGCCCUAUGGGUUGUAAACCUCUUUAGCCGGGGAGCAAAAGCCGGACGUGUCCGGCUGUGAGAGUACCCGAAGAAAAAGCAUCGGCUAACUCGGUGCCAGCAGCCGCGGUAGUACGGAGGAUGCGAGCGUGAUCCGGAUUUAGUGGGUUGAAAGGGUGCGCAGGCGGAUUUUGAAGUCAGAGGUCAAAGCGUGGGGCUCAAACCCAUCCCGCCGUUGAAGCUGGGGAUCUAGAGUGUGCGAGAGGGAUGCGGAUUGCGUGGUGUAGCAGUG